ACAUACGACCAUAGCCUGUGGAAAGUACGGGGUCCCGUCCGCUCCCCCUUAGUCAACCCGCAGAGUGCUGAACUAGUAGUAUGGUGGGUGACCACAUGCGAAUCCUCGGUGUUGUAUGUAGCA
rnacentral:rRNA from 1 species